UGGGGAAUCUUGCGCAAUGGGCGAAAGCCUGACGCAGCGACGCCGCGUGCGGGAAGAAGGCCUUCGGGUUGUAAACCGCUUUCAGGAGGGACGAAGCCACUCGGGUUAACAGCCCAGAGGGUGACGGUACCUCCAGAAGAAGCCCCGGCUAACUACGUGCCAGCAGCCGCGGUAAUACGUAGGGGGCCAGCGUUGUCCGGAUUCAUUGGGCGUAAAGCGCGUGUAGGCGGUUCGAUAGGUCCGAUGUGAAAACUCGAGGCUCAACUUCGAGAGGUCAUCGGAAACCAUCGGACUAGAGUCCGGAAGAGGAGAGUGGAAUUCCUGGUGUAGCGGUGAAAUGCGCAGAUAUCAGGAAGAACACCGAUGGCGAAGGCAGCUCUCUGGGACGGUACUGACGCUAAGACGCGAAAGCGUGGGGAGCGAACAGGAUUAGAUACCCCCGUAGUCC
rnacentral:rRNA from 1 species